AUAGCAUCUUAUCGUUCUCUGCUGGCCACACUUACUAUCCUCAAGUUUUUUUUGUUUUUUUUUUUAAUUUAUAUAUUUUUUUUCUAUAUAUAUAACUUGAUCAUCGAUGGAAAUCCUAUGGCUCUCACUUUCGAUAUUCAACUUAAUUUGAAAGGGCUAACGCACAACAACCGAAACUUUUUUGUUGAAAUGAUCCUUAUACUCAUUUUUGCUGAAGCUCUGGCCCUCUACGGUCUGGCACCAUCCUUUCUUCUCGAGCCGGUCAAUCCAAAACUGACUAGAAUAAUUGACCAUUUUCCCAUCAAUAUGUCUGUCGCAAUGUUGCGUCUUUAAAGUUAGCGUUACUAUUACUUUUAUUCUCUGGUUAAAGUUACGGUUUUCUAGUUGUCAUCAAUAAGGUCACUAUUAUUAUCAUUAUUAUUUGUUGCUUAGUUUUGCCAAAAAAAAACAAACCUCUUUGGACAUGGUAUUAUUGUAUUUUGGUCCUGAAGAAGACUUGGAAUUUAUGGAUUGUUAUAUAUUUGUAUCAAAAAUCUAUUAAUAUCAUGUUUUUUUUUACU